CGGUCGAGAGUGUAGCAGAUCGAGCAGGACAAUUCGCUGUGGCGCAAGCUCAGAACGAAGUGGAGAAGUUUCCAGUCUCUUCGGAAAUGCAUGGUGUCUCGCUUUGAGGAUGAUCGCGAUGGGAGCGAGAGAGGAUCUUGACUGAAUCAGGGGAACAGUCGCAAUGGAGAUUCGUUUGAACCCAGUUGGAGGUUGCUGGUACAUGAAGUAGGACGAAGUAAGUAUUGUUGUAAGUAUUUUCUUUAGGCUAUCACCACGUUCAAGUGAAUAGUUGCCGAGUUGAUGCUCGUAAGGAAACUGGAAAAAUCUUAUGAUUAUUAUUCUACCUGCAUUUCGAUUCUUCCGCACUGCGACCCCACUGUAAAGGAGGAUUCGCCAGUGGGUUGCUCGUCAAAUCAAAAAUUCAUUUCUCACAGGCUAAGCCGGAAUUUUGCCGAUCCCGUCCUGGAACAAGAAAAACAGAAGUGUUUGUCUCUUGGUUUUCUGUUGCCAUUGCCUCAGCGUGAGCAUAAAGAGCAAGAGCUCCAGGCCGCGGGACUUGACUCUGUGUCAAAGAUGAUCCUUGCCAUUUGGUUGGAUUGUAACUUCGGCAAUUUUUUUUCUUUUUUCACUGCAGCCCGCAAGUAGACUUGCUCCUGUGAAUUUUUUUCCUACUCUUUUGGCUUGACUCUGCCAACGUGAUGGUCAGGAAACGAGCAGGAGUUUUUAAGCGCUGCGCCGUUGAACUGGUUCCAAGUCGAGUGCAAGAAAGAAGCUUUUUUAGCUCAUGAUGUCCACAUAACACGGAGCAGCGCAUGCAUUUUACUCACGUUAUCAGGUGGGAGAGCUUUACUGCUUCGUUAUUCAAGGUGAUCCUCUCACGGACUAUUGUACAACGGGUACACUGUCGAAGAUUCAAACUUUCAAGUCAGGGGCGUGUGCGUAAGACGACGCCUGGUGACAGAAUCGACGACCGACUGUGGACAGAAACAGCAUCGAACUGAGCCGUGCAGCGGGGACGAGAAAAGAAAGACAGAAAAAAAAAAUUCAAGUGGUGGUGGAAUUAGAAGCGGUUUUACAUGUCAUCGAGGAUGGCAGCCAGCCUCUGGAGCUCCUCUUGGCAAGAGUGUGGGUAGCGGACGCCUUCCUCUUGAGGCUGGUGCUGGCUUUCAACAAAGGCUGGGUGCGAACGCCAGGGAUCAUGUGAACUUGAGGCAUUGGCGACGGUCACGGGGUGCUGAGCAGCACCAAGAGCCGCAGAGUGGCUCCAUUGCUGGAAGUAACUCGGCGAGCAGGCCGACUCGUCGUCGAGGA